rnacentral:rRNA from 1 species
UUGAACGCUGGCGGCAUGCCUUACACAUGCAAGUCGAACGGCAGCACGGGAGCAAUCCUGGUGGCGAGUGGCGAACGGGUGAGUAAUAUAUCGGAACGUGCCCAGUCGUGGGGGAUAACGUAGAGAAAUUUACGCUAAUACCGCAUACGAUCUAAGGAUGAAAGCGGGGGACUCGCAAGAGCCUCGCGCGAUUGGAGCGGCUGAUAUCAGAUUAGGUUGNGGUGAGGUAAAAGCUCACCAAGCCGACGAUCUGUAGCUGGUUUGAGAGAACGACCAGCCACACUGGGACUGAGACACGGCCCAGACUCCUACGGGAGGCAGCAGUGGGGAAUUUUGGACAAUGGGCGAAAGCCUGAUCCAGCAAUGCCGCGUGCA